rnacentral:rRNA from 1 species
CGGACGGGUGAGUAACACGUGGAUAACCUACCUAUAAGACUGGGAUAACUUCGGGAAACCGGAGCUAAUACCGGAUAAUAUAUUGAACCGCAUGGUUCAAUAGUGAAAGACGGUUUUGCUGUCACUUAUAGAUGGAUCCGCGCCGCAUUAGCUAGUUGGUAAGGCAACGGCUUACCAAGGCAACGAUGCGUAGCCGACCUGAGAGGGUGAUCGGCCACACUGGAACUGAGACACGGUCCAGACUCCUACGGGAGGCAGCAGCC